rnacentral:rRNA from 1 species
AAACUCUGGUGCUCUAGGCUUAAGUGGAACCACGCCAAUCCAUCCCGAACUUGGCUGUGAAACUCUUAAGAAGUUGAACUACUUGUUGGAAGCCUAACAGGAAAUUUCAACUUAGUGCCUGGGUA